rnacentral:tRNA from 1 species
GCAUUGGUGGUUCCAUGGCAGAAUUCUCACCUUCCAUGUGGGAAGCCCAGGUUUAAUUCCUGGCAAAUAUA